rnacentral:rRNA from 1 species
GUGGGGAAUAUUGGACAAUGGGCGAAAGCCUGAUCCAGCCAUGCCGCGUGUGUGAAGAAGGUCUUCGGAUUGUAAAGCACUUUAAGUUGGGAGGAAGGGCAGUAAGUUAAUACCUUGCUGUUUUGACGUUACCAACAGAAUAAGCACCGGCUAACUUCGUGCCAGCAGCCGCGGUAAUGCGAAGGGUGCAAGCGUUAAUCGGAAUUACUGGGCGUAAAGCGCGCGUAGGUGGUUCAGCAAGUUGGAGGUGAAAUCCCCGGGCUCAACCUGGGAACUGCCUCCAAAACUGCAUGACUAGAGUACGGUAGAGGGUAGUGGAAUUUCCUGUGUAGCGGUGAAAUGCGUAGAUAUAGGAAGGAACACCAGUGGCGAAGGCGACUACCUGGACUGAUACUGACACUGAGGUGCGAAAGCGUGGGGAGCAAACAGGAUUAGAUACCCUUGUAGUCC